rnacentral:rRNA from 1 species
CAAUAGCGUAUAUUUAAGUUGCUGCAGUUAAAAAGCUCGUAGUUGGAUUUCGGGUGGGAAUGGCCGGUCCGCCGUUUCGGUGUGCACUUGCUACGCCCACCUUGCUGCCGGGGACGUGCUCUUGAGUUCACGCUCGGGACACGGAGUCGGCGAGGUUACUUUGAGUAAAUUAGAGUGUUCAAAGCAGGCCUACGCUCUGAAUACAUUAGCAUGGAAUAACACGAUAGGACUCUGGCCUAUCUUGUUGGUCUGUAGGACCGGAGUAAUGAUUAAGAGGGACAGUCGGGGGCAUUCGUAUUUCAUUGUCAGAGGUGAAAUUCUUGGAUUUAUGGAAGACGAACAAGUGCGAAAGCAUUUGCCAAGGAUGUUUUCAUUAA